rnacentral:snRNA from 1 species
ACUCAUACUUUGCAGGGGAAAUACCAUGGUCAUGAAAGAGGGUUUCCCAGGGUGAGGCUCAUCCAUUGCACUUCAGGUGUGUUGAUCCCUGUGAUUUCCUCAAAUGUGGGGAACUCAACUGCAUAAGUUGUGGCAAUGGGGGAUUGCAUUUGUGCUUUCCAUGG